UACAAGUUACCCGUGAGGAAAGUUGCAAAGCACUUUGAAGAGAGAGUUAAAGAGGACGUGAAACCGGUAAGGUGGAAACGGAUAGAGUCGGCGUAUCAUUCAAUUAUUCAGUUACAUUAUUUUUAUGUUGUGACCUCUGAGCUCCAGAUUGGGACAGAGGGAAUCAGCAUAAUUUUUUGUGGUGCAUUUACUUGAUUGGUGCUUGGGGAUGUUUGAGGCAGAUUUGUUUCCGUCGUUUUGAGGCCAGCUUGCUGGUACCCAAACGGUGUUAGCAUUUUUUGUCUUGGGCAUUUGAGUAUGGCUCACGUGUAUUUAUUGGACAGAUCUGAGUGUAAGUUACGGUCGCAUGCGACACGUGCUUUUCAAUUAGUUCGGUCCAGUUAAUGCUCUCGUACUCGUUCCCCAUGUAAAAGCCGGUCAUCUAUCCGACCCGUCUUGAAACACGGACCAAGGAGUUUAUCGUGUGCGCAAGUUUUUGGGUGUUAAAAACUUAAAAGCGAAAUGAAAGUAAAUGACUCUUUAGAGUCUGAUGUGCGAUCUUGUAAAAAAGUGUAGCAUGGCCCCAUUCUAACUGUUUACAGUAGGGUGGCGGAAGAGCGUACGCGGUGAGACCCGAAAGAUGGUGAACUAUUCCUGAGCAGGACGAAGCCAGAGGAAACUCUGGUGGAAGUCCGAAGCGGUUCUGACGUGCAAAUCGAUCGUCUGACUUGGGUAUAGGGCGAAA
rnacentral:rRNA from 1 species